rnacentral:rRNA from 1 species
GACGUAGGUGGCGAACGUUAUCCGGUGUUAUUGGGCGUAAAGGAUGCGUAGACGGUAGGGUAAGUUAACAGUGGGAAAUCAGGGCUCAACCUUGUGGAAGCUGGUAAUACUACCCAACUUGAGGAUAGGAGAGGUUAACGGAACUCCCUGUGGAGCGGUAAAAUGCGUAGAUAUAGGGAAGAACACCAAAAAGGCGAAGGCAGUUAACUAUUCUAUUCCUGACGUUGAGGCAUGAAAGCGUGGGGAGCAAAACGG